AAUGAACGUUGGCGGCGUGGAUUAGGCAUGCAAGUCGUACGGGUCGGUGUAGCAAUACAACGGCAAGUGGCGAAAGGGAGAGUAACACGUAGAUACCUACCCUCUGGUCGGGGAUACCGCGGCAUAACCGCAAGUAAUACCCGAUAAAAUCUCCGGAUCAAAGGUGUGAUUCCGCCGGAGGAGGGGUCUGCGUUCUAUCAGCUUGUUGGUGAGGCAAUGGCUCACCAAGGCUAAGACGGAUACGGGGUGUGAGAGCAUGCCCCCGCUCACUGGGACUGAGACACUGCCCAGACACCUACGGGUGGCUGCAGUCGAGAAUCUUCGGCAAUGGGCGCAAGCCUGACCGAGCGACGCCGCGUGCGGGAUGAAGGCCUUCGGGUUGUAAACCGCUGUCGAGGGGAAUGAAGUGUAGGUGGGUACUCCCAUCUAUUUGACAGAUCCCUGGAGGAAGCAUGGGCUAAGUUCGUGCCAGCCGCCGCAGUAAGAC
rnacentral:rRNA from 1 species